rnacentral:lncRNA from 1 species
UUUAACUCAAAAAUCGUAUUAUAAAUUGUUCGGCCCGUGCUAGCACGGGCGAACGGUAUCUAGUAUAGACAUACCGGGGACUUCAUCUUCUUGACUAGGGACUUAAAAAAAAAAAAAAACAUUGUCCUUCCUUCUUAAGUGAACAAAGAUAACCCUAAACAACGAAACCACCAUAGCAGCCCCUCCACGACGCUACAGCAGUCCCCGUCGCCCAGCCAAACCAGCCCGUCAAACGACCCCUCCCGUUUCUGCUUCGGCCUCAACUGCCUCACGCCACCGCACGACCACCUUCAGUCGACCACACUCCAGUCCUUCACGAACCACCAGUCGGUUGCGUUCUCCGCCGUUCCGAACGAACCUCCUGAAACCAGCUUCUCAAACCACCAUUUCCGUCAACCAAACAGUCACAUCGCUGCUGCCUCCAAACGACCAGCCAACGCAGCAGCUGCCUCCAGUCCGUCAACUACCAAACGACCCUCAGCAGCGUCGACCAGUCAGCCCGCCUCCUUCACCAGUCGAACUGCUAGGAACCAGCCCCAUUUCCGUCGUCUUCUUCAGCUUUUCGGCGAGCUAGCGGUUUGUUAAGUUCCGUCUUUGAGUGUCGUCCGACGAGGUCGUCCUUUCGAGGUUGGAGGUCGUUAUCCAAGGAGUCUGUUUCAGUUGCCGUUCGAGGUCUUGUUCGAGGUUCUCGUCCGUUUCCGAUCGUUGAUUCGUUCAUACAAACGUACGACAUAUUUCUAUUCCUGUUAUAUAAAAAUCAGGUAUUGAAAGCUUCAUGCUCGUUUUCCUAUUCUGUUCAGUAAUGCUUCAUAUUUCAUGAUUUAGCCUAUUUGGUCCUAUGUCUUAUUGGUGUUGUUUGUUUAUUUUGUUUAGGCUAGUUUACUAUUUCUUGAGCAUAUUUAAAUUAUUUUAUUACUACUAUAGUACUAUGUUAGAUUUUAUUGCCGAAUAAUUAGUUUUAAGAUAACUAAUAUGAGUUUGGUGAUUUUUCCACAUUUUGUC